rnacentral:rRNA from 1 species
CCUCGGGCCGCAGCAGUGGGGAAUAUUGCACAAUGGGCGCAAGCCUGAUGCAGCCAUGCCGCGUGUAUGAAGAAGGCCUUCGGGUUGUAAAGUACUUUCAGCGGGGAGGAAGGGAGUAAAGUUAAUACCUUUGCUCAUUGACGUUACCCGCAGAAGAAGCACCGGCUAACUCCGUGCCAGCAGCCGCGGUAAUACGGAGGGUGCAAGCGUUAAUCGGAAUUACUGGGCGUAAAGCGCACGCAGGCGGUUUGUUAAGUCAGAUGUGAAAUCCCCGGGCUCAACCUGGGAACUGCAUCUGAUACUGGCAAGCUUGAGUCUCGUAGAGGGGGGUAGAAUUCCAGGUGUAGCGGUGAAAUGCGUAGAGAUCUGGAGGAAUACCGGUGGCGAAGGCGGCCCCCUGGACGAAGACUGACGCUCAGGUGCGAAAGCGUGGGGAGCAAACAGGAUUAGAUACCCGCGUAGUC